rnacentral:rRNA from 1 species
UGUUGUGAAAUGUUGGGUUAAGUCCCGCAACGAGCGCAACCCUUAUCCUUUGUUGCCAGCGGUCCGGCCGGGAACUCAAAGGAGACUGCCAGUGAUAAACUGGAGGAAGGUGGGGAUGACGUCAAGUCAUCAUGGCCCUUACGACCAGGGCUACACACGUGCUACAAUGGCGCAUACAAAGAGAAGCGACCUCGCGAGAGCAAGCGGACCUCAUAAAGUGCGUCGUAGUCCGGAUUGGAGUCUGCAACUCGACUCCAUGAAGUCGGAAUCGCUAGUAAUCGUGGAUCAGAAUGCCACGGUGAAUACGUUCCCGGGCCUUGUACACACCGCCCGUCACACCAUGGGAGUGGGUUGCAAAAGAAGUAGGUAGCUUAACCUUCGGGAGGGCGCUUACCACUUUGUGAUUCAUGACUGGGGUGAAGUCGUAACAAGGUAACCGUAGGGGAACCUGCGGUUGGAUCAC